UACGAAGGGGGCGAGCGUUGUUCGGAAUCACUGGGCUUAAAGCGUACGUAGGCGGCCAUUCAAGUCAGAAGUGAAAUCCCAGGGCUUAACCCUGGAAUUGCUUUUGAAACUAGAUGGCUGGAGUCCCGGAGAGGUUGGCGGAAUUCCGAGUGUAGAGGUGAAAUUCGCAGAUAUUCGGAGGAACACCAGUGGCGAAGGCGGCCAACUGGACGGGUACUGACGCUGAGGUACGAAAGCGUGGGGAUCAAACAGG
rnacentral:rRNA from 1 species